rnacentral:rRNA from 1 species
AACGAACGCUGGCGGCAUGCCUAACACAUGCAAGUCGAACGAGACCUUCGGGUCUAGUGGCGCACGGGUGCGUAACGCGUGGGAACCUGCCCUUAGGUUCGGAAUAACUCCCCGAAAGGGAUGCUAAUACCGGAUAAUGUCUUCGGACCAAAGAUUUAUCGCCUUUGGAUGGGCCCGCGUUGGAUUAGCUAGUUGGUAGGGUAAAAGCCUACCAAGGCGACGAUCCAUAGCUGGUCUGAGAGGAUGAUCAACCACACUGGGACUGAGACACGGCCCAGACUCCUACGGGAGGCAGCAGUGGGGAAUAUUGGACAAUGGGCGAAAGCCUGAUCCAGCAAUGCCGCGUGAGUGAUGAAGGCCUUAGGGUUGUAAAGCUCUUUUACCCGGGAUGAUAAUGACAGUACCGGGAGAAUAAGCUCCGGCUAACUCCGUG